ensembl:rRNA 5S_rRNA 5S ribosomal RNA
GUCUGCGGCCAUACCACCCUGAAUGCACCCGCUCUCAUCUGACCUAAGCAACUAAGCAAGGAAGAUGAAAUUCGUCAGCCCUGGUUA